rnacentral:hammerhead_ribozyme from 1 species
AUCCAACUGACGAGUCCCAAAUAGGAGGGAAUGCGCGUCUUUAAU